rnacentral:rRNA from 1 species
GAUGAACGCUGGCGGCGUGCCUAAUACAUGCAACUCGAGCGAACAGAUAAGGAGCUUGCUCCUUUGACGUUAGCGGCGGACGGGUGAGUAACACGUGGGUAACCUACCUAUAAGACUGGAAUAACUCCGGGAAACCGGGGCUAAUGCCGGAUAACAUUUAGAACCGCAUGGUUCUAAAGUGAAAGAUGGUUUUGCUAACACUUAUAGAUGGACCCGCGCCGUUUUAGCUAGUUGGUAAGGUAACGGCUUACCAAGGGAACGAUACCUAGCCGACCUGAGAGGGUGAUAGGCCACACGGGAACUGAGACACGCUCCAGACUCCUACGGGAGGCAGCAGUAGGGAACUGUCCGCAAUGGUCGAAAGCCUGACGGAGCACCGCGGCGUGAGUGAUGAAGGUCUUCGGAUCGUAAAACUCUGUUAUUAGGGAAGAACAAAUGUGUAAGUAACUGUGCACGUGUUGACGGUACCUAAUCAGAAAGCCACGGCUAACUACGUG